UACGAAGGGGGCUAGCGUUGCUCGGAAUUACUGGGCGUAAAGGGCGCGUAGGCGGAUAUUUAAGUCGGGGGUGAAAGCCCAGGGCUCAACCCUGGAAUAGCCUUCGAUACUGGAUAUCUUGAGUUCGGGAGAGGUGAGUGGAACUCUGAGUGUAGAGGUGAAAUUCGUAGAUAUUCGGAAGAACACCAGUGGCGAAGGCGACUCACUGGCCCGAUACUGACGCUGAGGCGCGAAAGCGUGGGGAGCAAACAGG
rnacentral:rRNA from 1 species